AACAGAUUUUCUCCAGACACAGAGAAGAGGCCAACAUCCCAGACCAGGUGUGGCCAGAUUCAAUGGGCUAUUCAUUUGUAUUACAGGUUGCAGGAAGAGAACAUUUACAGUGUAAAACAGCAGGAGGAAGCAUCAUAUUGGAGCACACCAGAGAACACUUUAAUCAAGAUGGAGUCGGCCCCACCAGAGGAGGAGACUGAAUACCCAGGGGAUCAAUUUGACCCUGGAAACAAAGGCAGAUUGAGAUAUAAGGACACCGUAAAAGGGUGGCACCCACCUCUUGUGAGCACCCCUUGGCCAGGUGCCUGCACUCAGUCUGUGGUGACCGGUCAGUGGUUUCUCAGGCUUUUCCAUGGAACUCACAGUGGUAAUAUCGGAGCACCACACAAACGUUGAGGUUAAAUGGCUUUUUCAGCAUGGGCUGGAGGAUGGAAGAGAAGAGUUCUACCUGUUUUUUUAUGAAUUUCCCCCACUGCAAUGUUGUACCUGUUAGAUUGUUACGUGAUGCGUAUAAAUCCUGCAUGCUGUAUUUCCUAAAUUAGGAAACUUGUCCUUGAAAUCUGGU